UACGUAGGGUGCGAGCGUUAAUCGGAAUUACUGGGCGUAAAGCGUGCGCAGGCGGUUUUGUAAGCCAGAUGUGAAAUCCCCGGGCUUAACCUGGGAAUGGCAUUUGGGACUGCAAGGCUGGAGUGUGGCAGAGGAGACUGGAAUUCCUGGUGUAGCAGUGAAAUGCGCAGAUAUCGGGAGGAACACCAAUUGCGAAGGCAGCUCGCUGGGACGUCACUGACGCUGAGACGCGAAAGCGUGGGGAGCAAACAGG
rnacentral:rRNA from 1 species